UACGGAGGAUGCGAGCGUUAUCCGGAUUUAUUGGGUUUAAAGGGUGCGCAGGCGGAUUUUUAAGUCAGCGGUCAAAUCGUGGGGCUCAACCCCAUCCAGCCGUUGAAACUGGCGUGCUCGAGUUGGAGAGAAGUAUGCGGAAUUCGUGGUGUAGCGGUGAAAUGCAUAGAUAUCACGCAGAACUCCGAUUGCGAAGGCAGCAUACCGGCGCCCAACUGACGCUGAAGCACGAAAGCGUGGGUAUCGAACAGG
rnacentral:rRNA from 1 species